rnacentral:rRNA from 1 species
CGGCACGGGUGAGUAACACGUAUCCAACCUGCCGUCUACUCUUGGCCAGCCUUCUGAAAGGAAGAUUAAUCCAGGAUGGCAUCAUGAGUUCACAUGUCCGCAUGAUUAAAGGUAUUUUCCGGUAGACGAUAGGGAUGCGUUCCAUUAGAUAGUAGGCGGGGUAACGGCCCACCUAGUCAACGAUGGAUAGGGGUUCUGAGAGGAAGGUCCCCCACAUUGGAACUGAGACACGGUCCAA